AGGGAGUAACAAAUCCAGAACAUCUUGCACUGCAACUGCCUGUGUUUCUCGAGCUUUGGAGGCGAUGAGUGGCUUGAGAGUUUAGAAUUGAGACGCGAACAAGGUAGCGGAUCAAUGCUCCUCUGAAGUCCACUGAUGCGACGCCGGCGGAAAUCGCGCGUCAGAUGUAGGCGACGGCGCAAGCGGCGGCGCUCUUCUGCCGUGUGCAGGCGGCGCCCACCCCGAUAGUCCCGGUGGUGUGCCAAGCGAACCUCGGAGUCACGAUGCCCACCUUGUGCUCGAGGUAGUUACCCGGUUGUGACAUCGACACGCCGGCGUUCACCCUUGCGCCAACAUUGUCCUUAUCCACAAUCAGUGCUGGGCGAAGCCUUCCAUUUCGUCGAUCACGUCACCCUCGCAGUGUCGACGCCCACCACCUGCUCGAUGUUUUGUCCUGACCGCAACGACGGCGGAGUUUACCCAGUGGUCGUGGCCCUUGUCCCAAGAGGCGCAUCACCAUCAGUCAUUGCAGCACUGGAGCCCAUGUCGGCAUUGCCGAUCCAGCUGCUCGCUGCUCUCGAGUUUGACACGCCGGCGCUCACCAGGUGCUCGAUGGAAUGCUUAGACAAUGAUGCCAGCAAGAAUGUCUCUAUGUUAAAACUGGGUGGGCUUCCUCCAACCGCUGUGACGUCAUCGUGUACAGGCUGUUCAAUGAAAAUGCAGUGGCAACCGUGUCCUCCACCUCACAAGCAUGGACCGAGGACAAGGGGGGAAUCUCAGGCCAAGGCCAUGGCCGUCCUCUGGGUUUAUUCAAUAGGAGGUCAACAUGAAGCUACCGUGGCCAUCAUCUUCAAAAAAAUUUGAUGCACUUAAGAUGUUCAAGCAACAGGUAUUUGGUCAGAGCCACCGAGCUUCAAUGACGAUGGCCACGGCUCCCCUCCUCCAACAUGGAAGGGGGCCUGCCAAUCUGACAAGUCCUUGAGCCACAACAGUUGCAACAACAAGAUCGUUGUUGCACACUGGUAUGCCAAUGUUGUCAACGAACCCAAUUAGAAGGUGAGUUCUUGUCUCCCGGAGAUCUGAAUGGCCAUGGCACCCAUGUGACCUCGACAGCAGCAGGGAAUGCUGUCUGCAACAUCAGCUUCCAUGGGCUGCGACCGGUGUUGCACCCAGUGAUGUGCCAAGAGCCCGCAUCGCCAUGUGUACAAGGCUUGCUGGAGCAUUAAAGCACCACAGGACGAUGCUACACACAGCGAGGCAGCAGUCAUGCAAGCAAUAGAUUAUGUCAUCCAGGAUGGACUCGACAUCUUAUCCCUGUCCAUAGUCAGUCUGUUGGGGCACCUCCCUUAGUUUCAGGCAGUGCGGUGGUGAAGGGCAACCGGUGGUCUAGUUUGCUGGGAAUUCUGGACUGUAUGCCCAGAUGGUGGGCAAUGCGCCUCCGUGGCUGUUUACAGGUGCAGCAUCAACGAGGAUAGGCUGUUCCCUACUGCUAUCACUCUUGGAUAUGGCCAGACACUUGUGGGACAAUCCUAAUUUGCCAAUAUGGAAAGAGCAAAUCAGUUUCACAAGAUCAAGCUCCACCUGACUAGCAUGUAUGUGAAUACAUGCAUUUUCAGUUUGUCUCCUGUACUUCUGUAUUUGGUGUUGCUGCUUCAGAAGCCAUAGCCCAUAGUACCAGUCAGAAUCUGGUAGCAAUGGUUUCUUUGACUUACACAUCAACUGGAAGUAGAUUUCCUGCGCCCAAAUAGCAGCUUUCUCAUCUAGGGGUCCAAGCUCCGUCUACCCUGCAGUGCUUAAGGUAUAUACUGUGAAAUUACAUUUUUUGGGCACAAUAAAUCAUUUAUACAUGUUCCACUAAAUUUUAUUUAUUUGGGACGACUCAGAACAAUUGAUAUGUAUCUCUUUAAUAUGUCAAGUUUGUUAAGGGUAUGUGAUAGUGGCGCCUAAAUGUGGUGACACCCAUCGUGUGAGGAUGGCACCCGAGUGUGUGAGGGUGGUGUCUGAAUAUGUAAGCGUAGGUAUCCAAAAUAUGAUGAUAGUAUCCAAAUUGUUGUGAGUGUGUUAAGAGUAUUUGUGGUAUUCCACACUAGUUUAGUUAGGACUAGUCUUCUCUUGUACUCCCUCCGUCCCAUAUUAAGUGACUCAAAUUUGUCCAAAUAUGGAUGUAUCUAUACCUAAUAAGCAUCUAGAUACAUGUAAUAUUUCAUCACUUAAUAUGGGCCGGAGGGAGUAGUAUAUAUAUAGCCCUUUGGGCCUCAAGUCAAUACAAGAAAAUCAUUUGUCCCUCUCUCCAAAGUUAACAUGGUAUGAGAGCGUCGGGUUCUCUCCUAGCGCCACCUCCCUCGUCACCGCUGCGCAGCCCCCGGGAGAGCAAUCUCCACUCCCGGGGGCCGCAUCAAUCUUCUCAUCGUCGUCUUGGUCAUGUUGACCUUUUCUUCGUCCUCGUUUUAUUCUUGGAAUGGGCUUCUCCAUCUCCAUUUGUAGCAGCAGCCACGAUCUUCAAUCGGCCUCUUCGCAGUGGACGGAUCUGGCCUUCUACAUCAACAUCUUGGCUGGAUCGAUCGCCACUGGCUUGUCUUCGCCUUCCUCCGUCGCAUCGGCUCAUGAGUGCAGCUCAGAUUCUUCUUUGGCCGGAUCCAGCCUCUACAUCACCAUCCUGGCCGGAUCCGUCGCCACCAGCUCAUCUCCAUUCGUCCUCCUCGCCACCGAUUUGCUGCUUGGGUGAGGGUGGCACCUGAAUGUGUGAGGAUGAAACCCGUCGUGUGAGGAUGGCACCCGAGUGUGUGAGGGUGGUGUCCGAAUAUGUAAGGGUAGGUACCCGAAACUAUGAGGGCUUUCACACACUUCACUCCAAACAGCCUGACAUCGCGGCACCAGGGCUGAACAUUCUAGCAGGAGCACCACAGGUCGGUAUUUUACAAGGAAAUGGGGUUGUCUUACUUCUUCGAUUCAGGGACAUCGAUGUCAUGCCCACAUAUAUCAGGCAUUAUGGCCGUGCUCAAGUCAAUCCAUCUAGACUGGUCACCUGCUGCUCUAAAAUCGACACUGAUGACUACAGGUACGUAUAGAAUAAAUGACACUGUUAGGAUCACGAAGUCCUUUCAUAUACUGCAUGUCUUCAUAGUAGAACAAAGUGAUCAACAACAUAUGUGCACGAUGCAACUUAUUUUUAAACGAAACUAAGAUGGUUUACAGCAUAUAUUACGGGCACCAACGAGUCUCCGUUACUAGCCGGCGUAACCCCAAAUAAAGUUGCAGAUCCUUUUGAUUAUGGAGCUGGAUUUGUUAAUCCGACCCAGGCAAGCGGUCCUGGACUUAUAUACGAUAAUAUCGAUGCUUCUGAUUACCAAAUGCGAUUCAGCUGCUUGGUUACAGCAGAUACAAAUGGUUCCUUUGUUUGACUUGAAUCUGCCAUCAAUAGCAAUCCCCAAUCUCAAGUCAUUGGUGUCGAUAUCACGGGCAGUCACCACUCACCAACGACAUAGGCCAACCUGAUGCAGUGAACAAAGCAUUUGUCGAGCCUCUUGCUGGCAUUGAUAUGCGCGUUGAACCCAUGAUGCUGGUGUUUGGCAAGGAUACAAGAUUGGUAGAAGUUAUUCAAAGAACAAUCUGUGUUGCAAUUGACGGCCCAAAGUGUCAAAGUAGAACAAAUACCAUCUGGCACGAGAGCUCGCUUGGCAAACUUGAUUAUUAUAUUUAAUAAGAAGGACAUGGCAUCACCCACUUCUUUGCGAUGAGAUGAACUUAUUGAAUAUGUUUGUACAAAUUGUAGAGGACUGUAAGGUAAACAUCAUCCUCGUGUAACUGAAACC